rnacentral:misc_RNA from 1 species
GUUCGAAGAUUAGAGCCGUUCUCUACCCUCCAAAGUCACUGAAAACCGUCUCUCCUCCUCCAUCAGCUCCUGCAAGUGUCGACUUCUAUCCAGUCAAAUCGCCCUUUAAUGCCUUGGAUUAUCGAAGAUCUGGAUAUCCCAUCGGCGUUUGUAAGGACUCCGGCAGAGUCCGUUGUAAUCCAUUUCACGGGCAACGAAAACCAGAAUUCUGCUGUGGAGACCCUCGGUGUAACGGACAAGGGAACCCUAGAUUUCGGCGUUGUGACCCUUACCGGAACAAGAAUUGGCUGGGGUUAGCAAAAUAGCAUAUAGAAAAUUAAUUUUUUGAAAUGAAUUAGUUUAUACAAUACAAAUUAAGGACAUAGAUAAUGAUAGGGAAAAGAAAAUACAGAGUGAGAAGGGUGAAGUUUUGAUAUGUGAAUGGAUUGUUAAUUUCAGAAAUUAUUUUUUGAUUCUGUUAACCCCAGUCCGGCCAAUAUUUUUGCCGUUAGCCUCCUAUUAUGAAAUCGCGACGUCCAUCUGUGACCGUCACAGAUAUUUGCAGUUACAUCAUGAUUUUGUUUUCGGGUGUGAUAUUUUCAGUUAGAUACGACAUGGUUGAAUUCUUUUAUGAUUAUGUUUUCAGUUGGUUUUGGUGU